AUUGAACGCUGGCGGCAGGCCUAACACAUGCAAGUCGAGCGGAUGAAGGGAGCUUGCUCCUGGAUUCAGCGGCGGACGGGUGAGUAAUGCCUAGGAAUCUGCCUGGUAGUGGGGGAUAACGUCCGGAAACGGGCGCUAAUACCGCAUACGUCCUGAGGGAGAAAGUGGGGGAUCUUCGGACCUCACGCUAUCAGAUGAGCCUAGGUCGGAUUAGCUAGUUGGUGGGGUAAAGGCCUACCAAGGCGACGAUCCGUAACUGGUCUGAGAGGAUGAUCAGUCACACUGGAACUGAGACACGGUCCAGACUCCUACGGGAGGCAGCAGUGGGGAAUAUUGGACAAUGGGCGAAAGCCUGAUCCAGCCAUGCCGCGUGUGUGAAGAAGGUCUUCGGAUUGUAAAGCACUUUAAGUUGGGAGGAAGGGCAGUAAGUUAAUACCGUGCUGUUUUGACGUUACCAACAGAAUAAGCACCGGCUAACGUCGUGC
rnacentral:rRNA from 1 species